rnacentral:rRNA from 1 species
AAAGCGUGCGCAGGCGGUUAUAUAAGACAGAUGUGAAAUCCCCGGGCUCAACCUGGGAACUGCAUUUGUGACUGUAUAGCUGGAGUGCGGCAGAGGGGGAUGGAAUUCCGCGUGUAGCAGUGAAAUGCGUAGAUAUGCGGAGGAACACCGAUGGCGAAGGCAAUCCCCUGGGCCUGCACUGACGCUCAUGCACGAAAGCGUGGGGAGCAAACAGGAUUAGAUACCCUUGU